rnacentral:rRNA from 1 species
UACGGAGGAUGCGAGCGUUAUCCGGAUUUAUUGGGUUUAAAGGGUGCGUAGGCGGCCUUGUAAGUCAGCGGUGAAAUUUUGCAGCUUAACUGUAAAAGUGCCGUUGAUACUGUGAGGCUAGGAUUUGGUUGCUGUGGGUGGAAUGUGUAGUGUAGCGGUGAAAUGCAUAGAUAUUACACAGAACACCGAUUGCGAAGGCAUCUCACAAAGCCGUUAUUGACGCUGAGGCACGAAAGUGUGGGGAUCAAACAGGAUUAGA